UACGAAGGGGGCUAGCGUUGCUCGGAAUCACUGGGCGUAAAGGGCGCGUAGGCGGCCCUCCUUGUCGCGUGUGAAAGCCCCGGGCUCAACCUGGGAACGGCGCGCGAGACGGGGGGGCUGGAGUUCGGGAGAGGAGCGUGGAAUUCCCAGUGUAGAGGUGAAAUUCGUAGAUAUUGGGAAGAACACCGGUGGCGAAGGCGGCGCUCUGGACCGAGACUGACGCUGAGGCGCGAAAGCGUGGGGAGCGAACAGG
rnacentral:rRNA from 1 species